rnacentral:rRNA from 1 species
UGGGGAAUAUUGCACAAUGGGCGCAAGCCUGAUGCAGCAACGCCGCGUGAACGAUGAAGGUCUUCGGAUCGUAAAGUUCUGUUGCAGGGGAAGAUAAUGACGGUACCCUGUGAGGAAGCCCCGGCUAACUACGUGCCAGCAGCCGCGGUAAUACGUAGGGGGCUAGCGUUAUCCGGAUUUACUGGGCGUAAAGGGUGCGUAGGUGGUCUUUCAAGUCGGUGGUUAAAGGCUACGGCUCAACCGUAGUUAGCCUCCGAAACUGGAAGACUUGAGUGCAGGAGAGGAAAGUGGAAUUCCCGGUGUAGCGGUGAAAUGCGUAGAUAUUGGGAGGAACACCAGUAGCGAAGGCGGCUUUCUGGACUGCAACUGACACUGAUGCACGAAAGCGUGGGUAGCAAACAGG